CAGGGAGACAACAAAAUGUUUAAUAUUAUUUUGUCACCUUAGGUCGAUCGGUAUCUCACGUUCUUAAUUCAUUAAGGAUUUCAAUUCCUAAGUUUUUCUAGGUCACACCCAUUAUAUUUUCCUGGGCCAUUAGCUCAGGUGGUUAGAGCGCACCCCUGAUAAGGGUGAGGUCCCUGGUUCAAGUCCAGGAUGGCCCAUAUCUCUAUGUUGGGGGUAUAGCUCAGUUGGUAGAGCGCCUGCUUUGCAAGCAGGAUGUCAGCGGUUCGAGUCCGCUUACCUCCACUGAUUACCACCUCUUCCAUAAUCUAUAGAAAGGAAAUUUUUUGAGUUGUGAUCAAAUUCUGAACGAAUCUAGCUUCCUAAUAAAUACAUUAAGAUGCUGGACUCAUUGAAUUAAUUUCAUUGUUUUCAGAGAACCUUGACAACUGCAUAGAUUAUUUUUAAAGACAAUAAGCAUCUUUAGUGAUGCAGAUUUAUUAUUUGUGCGAAUGCAUUAAUAACAAUUCUAUUAAGCUGAUGCUUCAAUUAUUGAAGUUAUU
rnacentral:tRNA from 1 species